rnacentral:rRNA from 1 species
UACGUAGGGGGCAAGCGUUAUCCGGAUUCAUUGGGCGUAAAGCGCGCGCAGGCGGACCGCUAAGCGGGACCUCUAAUCUUGGGGCUCAACCUCAAGCCGGGUCCCGAACUGGCAGCCUCGAGUGCGGUAGGGGUAAGCGGAAUUCCCGGUGUAGCGGUGAAAUGCGUAGAUAUAUGGAGGAACACCGGUGGCGAAAGCGGCUCUCUGGCCUGUAACUGACACUGAGGCUCGAAAGCGUGGGGAGCAAACAGG